CAACGGAGAACCACUUGCGGAGACCCCUCUGCCACCACAGAGCCGUCGAGAGUCCUUCUGUCACCAUAGAGCCACCGCACAACCAUUGGGCUACAGGAGUGCUUAUAGAGAAAAGGAGGCUGUUGACGGUUGGGACACAAGUCAUCCCAGGGAAAGAAAAUGCUGAGUACAGCUGACCCUGCAGAAGAUAGGACAGGGACCAGCACCUCCAGGACUGUCACCUAGAGGGCCAUGUGCCAGGUAGUCCUGGCACCAUCAGCCACCUGCUUCGGGGGAGAUAAGGUUCACCCUGUGGUACCUCACACCUGUUGUGCUUUCAAUCUUAGGUUGUAAGGGCCAGUGGAGUAAAUUCCCCGUGUCGCUUUGAGAAAUAUGUUAGUGCUUGCAUUCCUCUCUGGAGACAGCUGCCCAAGCCAUCCACAUGCUAUUAUUCAUCCUGGUGACUUGCUUGGAGUAAGAAGCCUGUGCUGCUUUCGGUAGCACUUCCACCAGCUGGAGAGUCUGGAUGAGCACCUCGCAUGGAUGGAAUGGGAAUAGAUGGGAUUGCUUUGGAUGAGCAAGCUCCAUUUCUCUUUUUCCAAGCGAGGAGUGGUGAUUGCAGGGCUGUGGGCAGCUGCUGUCUGCACAAAGGGCUCCUGGUGCUCAGUGCUGCUCUUCUGUCUCUGUGAGUCCCACAGAGUCUUGCUCUAAUUCUGCCAUACAGCUCAGGGCUCACCUGCACAGCACCACCUCCUCUCCUGCAGGCUGAUUAUCAAGAGCUUUCUGUCCUGAGGUUUGCUAUGCAAACAUUGAACAUUUGUGUUUAAAUAUUGCAUUUUUCUGCUGAUGUGAAGCUGGUAAUUACAGCCAGAUGGGACCUGGCUCCCAGGCAGAUGCAGGGCCUAAACACUGCAGGGUGGUGGCUUUGUGCAGCCAUGUGGCCAACCACAAGCAGGAGUAUCAGAAAAGCUGAAUGUAAUUAAAAACAAUGCAAAAA